rnacentral:tRNA from 1 species
UGGGGCGUAGCCAAGUGGUAAGGCAGCGGGCUUUGAUCCCGCCAUUCCCAGGUUCGAACCCUGGCGCCCCAA